ACUUCUCUAACUCUGGUAACCGAACCUGCUCGAACAAAAAAUUAACUUGUUAAUUGCAAGUAAACGAUCAUUGAUUAUAAAAUUCUUGUACGUACCCUUUCCGUGAAGAUACUAGUAGUUCUUUUGUAUCUCGCCAUGAAUUCAGGACAUGCAUAUAUCCAUAAUUCUUUCAAGGAUGGAAAUUCAAGAAUAUCAAGAUCUCCAGUGCAGAAGCUUGUGAUCUUUUCAAGAUCAGACAUCCCCAGAUAUUGCAACUGAGGAAACAUUACAAUAUUUUUCUUCCUUUCUUCUUGGUUGUCCAAGACUAUUAACUCUUCCAGGACAGGACAUUUACUUAUCUCAAUGCUUUGGAGUCGAACAAAGCUACUAACAGUAGAAGAUGAAAAUAGACAUCUUAAAUUCAUACAUCCGUGCAGGUCCAAGUGUGUUAAAUUCUGAAUACCACAAGACAUGACUGUAACUUGGCUCGGCCAAAUCCUCUCAACAUUUAUUGACACCAACUCCAACUUCUCUAACUCUGGUAAUGCAACCUGCACGAUCAAAAAAUUAACUUGUUAAUUACAAGCAACAAUGAUUUCUGUUGAUGGACAAAUCAAUAAAAUUACUCUUUCUCUGGUUAUAGUUCUUUUCAGUUUUUCAUACAAACAACCGUUAAUCAAGUUUUCCAAAUUAUUCCUUACUAAAUGUAUAGAUUUAGACGGCGGCUAAUAUAAUUCAUAUUGCAAAUAUUUUUUGAUUGUAACGAAUUUUGUAAUAUUAAAUUUUGGUUGAUUAACAAUAGGACCUACUGUCCAGCGCGAGCAGUUCUCGGGAUUUAACUACUGGCAC
rnacentral:lncRNA from 1 species